rnacentral:rRNA from 1 species
CGUGUAGGCGGUUUUUUUAAGUCUGAUGUGAAAGCCCCGGGCUCAACCCGGGAAGUGCAUUGGAUACUGGGAGACUUGAAUACGGGAGAGGGUAGUGGAAUUCCUAGUGUAGGAGUGAAAUCCGUAGAUAUUAGGAGGAACACCGGUGGCGAAGGCGGCUACCUGGACCGAUAUUGACGCUGAGACGCGAAAGCGUGGGGAGCAAACAGGAUUAGAUACCCUGGUAGUCCACGCCGUAAACGAUGAGAACUAGGUGUUGCGGGUAUUGACCCCUGCAGUGCCGCAGCUAACGCAUUAAGUUCUCCGCCUGGGAAGUACGGUCGCAAGACUAAA